ensembl:snRNA U6 U6 spliceosomal RNA
GUGAUCACUUCAGCAGCACAUAUACUAAAAAUUGGAAUGAUGUAGAGAGGAAUUAGUAUGGCCCCUGCAUAAGGAUGACACACAAAUUUGUGAAAUGUUCCAUAUUUUU